AACAGGGGAGAAAGGGUUCAACCCUAGUUCUUGAAUUCAGCCAAAUUAGAAAGAAUUUCAAAGAAAAUAAACUGCAUGAGCUCAAGAUUUCGAUCAUCUAAACCUACUUAUUGAAGUGGCGUGAAGGAAGAAAGCGCAAGUGCUAGGAAAAUGGAAAACGCACAAGAUCGAGGUAAAUCCUCAACAUAAUGGCUUGGCGACUUGGAACGAACACACAUGAAUCACGUCCACCAUGCGCUUCCGCUACGUUUAUAAUUAUGUUAUGGGUCAAAAAUACUUUUGUGGUAUAUAACUUAUGUUUAGUAGCUAGACUUUAAAGCUUAACAUGUUAUAUCUUUUGAACGUGUCGUAG